GGGACAAUAAGGUGAUUCAAAUUGAUGGAGAAGAGAAGGAUGAAGGUGAAGAUGGAGAUGGCAAUGACAAGGGAAAAAUUUCCUGGAAAUCAAUGGAAGCAAGGUCUAAAAUGUGGCCGCAUGUCAUCAAAGACAAAGGACGUGCACUAUGCCAGAAAUGAUUUAUGCUGGAACAUCAAAAUUAGCAUGCUGGCGGGCGGAAUUGGCACUCGCUAGCAUAAAGGUGACCGGGGCUGCCGGGCUAGUGCUCGCCAGCACAUAUGGGAUGUUUCUGUGCUGGAGGGUGCAUUAGGUGGCCCACCAGCACAGAUGCCACCCAGAUAAAGCCACGAACAGCUUUUUCCCCAAUCAACCUUCCAUUUGGAGCUUGCUUGAGAGGAGCUCGGGAAAAACUCCAAAAAUAUCAAAUCUAAGAGAGAAGGUUUUGCUCUUAUUUUCUUUGAAGGAGGUGGCUAUAAAAGAUAAGUUUGUGCAAUUCCAACCUUCUUUUUCAACUUGUAUCUAUCAUUUCUUGCUUCAUUAGGAUGUCAUCUAGAUCUAGAUCUAGAUCUAGAAGAGAGAGGAGGGAAGGGAGAGAAAAUAAUUAGAGAUGGAUUGUUUUUGUAAAUAAAAUUCUAUGGUCAUAUUAUAGCCAUUACAAUGCAAUGUUUGUUAUUUUAAUGUAAUAUAGAAUUGAGUUUCAUUAUAUUUUUCCUACUUAUUAAUUAUUACAUCCAUAGUUUUAAUUAAUGAGGUUGAUUGAAUUUAAUAUAUAAUUGAGUUUGAUUUUUUUCCUUCUAUUUAUUAAUUAUUACAAUUGAGUUUCAUUUAGGGUAAUAUAGAA
rnacentral:lncRNA from 1 species